GUCCUACCUCUAAAACCACUCUGUCUGGGGAACAUGGCCGCCAGAGCAAAGCUAAGAGCCCAGAGCAGCGGGAGAGAGCAGACUCCCCUGGACCCAGCUGUGUCUCCUUGAAGAGCGACCGGUCUAUGGAUCGUCCUCCUCACCUUAAAGAUGGACGCCCCUCCAGAGAGGAGAGGCGUCCCCAGGAGAGGUCAAAGGUUACCAGUGCUCAGUCUGUACAGCAGAAUCAAAC